AUGUAGUGGGAUAGUGUAAGAUAUAGAGGUGAUGUAGUGGGAUAGUGUAAGAUAUAGAGGUGAUGUAGUGGGAUAGUGUAAGAUCUAGAGGUGAUGUAGUGGGAUAGUGUAAGAUCUAUAUGUGAUGUAGUGGGAUAGUGUAAGAUCUAUAUGUGAUGUAGUGGGAUAGUGUAAGAUCUAUAUGUGAUGUAGUGGGAUAGUGUAAGAUCUAUAUGUGAUGUAGUGGGAUAGUGUAAGAUCUAGGGGUGAUGUAGUGGGUUAGUGUAAGAUCUAUAUGUGAUGUAGUGGGAUAGUGUAAGAUCUAUAUGUGAUGUAGUGGGAUAGUGUAAGAUCUAUACGUGAUGUAGUGGGAUUG